rnacentral:rRNA from 1 species
CCCCAGUAACGGCGAGUGAAGCGGCAACAGCUCAAAUUUGAAAUCUGGCCCCCCCCGGGGGGGCCCGAGUUGUAAUUUGCAGAGGAUGCUUUGGGCGAGGCGCCUUCCGAGUUCCCUGGAACGGGACGCCACAGAGGGUGAGAGCCCCGUCUGGUCGGACGCCGAGCCUCUGUAAAGCUCCUUCGACGAGUCGAGUAGUUUGGGAAUGCUGCUCAAAAUGGGAGGUAUAUGUCUUCUAAAGCUAAAUACCGGCCAGAGACCGAUAGCGCACAAGUAGAGUGAUCGAAAGAUGAAAAGCACCUUGAAAAGGGGGUUAAACAGUACGUGAAAUUGUUGAAAGGGAAGCGCUCGUGACCAGACUUGGGGCGGGCGGAUCAGCCGGCGUUCUCGCCGGCGCACUCCGCCCGUCCCAGGCCAGCAUCAGUUCGCGCCGGGGGACAAAGGCGGCGGGAACGUGGCUCCCCAGGGAGUGUUAUAGCCCGCCGCGCCAUGCCCCGGGGGCGGACUGAGGGCCGCGCAUCACUGCAAGGAUGCUGGCGUAAUGGUCACCAGCGACCCGUCUUGAAACACGGGCCAAGGAGUCGUCCUCGUAUGCGAGUGUUCGGGUGUCAAACCCCUACGCGGAAUGAAAGUGAACGUGGGUGAGAGCUUCGGCGCAUCAUCGACCGAUCCUGAUGUUCUCGGAUGGAUUUGAGUAGGAGCAUACGGGGCCGGACCCGAAAGAAGGUGAACUAUGCCUGUGUAGGGUGAAGCCAGAGGAAACUCUGGUGGAGGCUCGCAGCGGUUCUGACGUGCAAAUCGAUCGUCAAACAUGGGCAUGGGGGCGAAAGACU